UAGGGAAUCUUCCGCAAUGGGCGAAAGCCUGACGGAGCAACGCCGCGUGAGUGAUGAAGGUCUUCGGAUCGUAAAACUCUGUUAUUAGGGAAGAACAUAUGUGUAAGUAACUGUGCACAUCUUGACGGUACCUAAUCAGAAAGCCACGGCUAACUACGUGCCAGCAGCCGCGGUAAUACGUAGGUGGCAAGCGUUAUCCGGAAUUAUUGGGCGUAAAGCGCGCGUAGGCGGUUUUUUAAGUCUGAUGUGAAAGCCCACGGCUCAACCGUGGAGGGUCAUUGGAAACUGGAAAACUUGAGUGCAGAAGAGGAAAGUGGAAUUCCAUGUGUAGCGGUGAAAUGCGCAGAGAUAUGGAGGAACAUCAGUGGCGAAGGCGACUUUCUGGUCUGUAACUGACGCUGAUGUGCGAAAGCGUGGGGAUCAAACA
rnacentral:rRNA from 1 species